rnacentral:lncRNA from 1 species
CUUUACCUAAAUCAAAUGAUAUUCAGGUACAAGCUGAAGAAAAAAUGAGUUUAAUCAAUGAAUUUGUAAAGAUGUACGACAAAACAGAUGAUAAGAUUGGAUCAGAGGAGAUGAUGGUAGACAAGAUCAGAGAUGCUGGGGCUGAAUCUGAUGAAAACAUUUCUCAACCGUCACAGAGUACUGGAGCCAAAAUGAAAGAACCUAAAGCAGCAGAUGAUAAGACUGGAUCAGAGGUGGUGGUGGAAGACAAGCUUGGAGAUGCUGGGGCUGAAUCUGAUGAAAACAUUUCUCAACCGUCACAGAGUACUGGAGCCAAAAUGAUAGAACCUAAAGCAGCAGAUGAUAAGACUGGAUCAGAGGAGGUGGUGGAAGACAAGCUUGGAGAUGCCAUGGCUGAACCUGUUGAAAGCACUUCUCAACCAUCAUGUACCAGGGGACCUAAUAUUAGCAAACAUAGAGGAGGGGAUGAUAAGAUUGGAUCGGAGGAUUGGGUGGAUGCCAAACUUGGAGAUGCUGGAGCUGAUUUAUUGGAGGAGAUCGUGGAAGAAAAGCUAGGAUAUUCUGUGACUGAAUCAGAUGAAUGCGCUUCUCAACUGCCAUAUUACACUGGGUCCAAUAUCAAAGAAC